rnacentral:rRNA from 1 species
UACGUAGGGUGCGAGCGUUGUCCGGAAUUAUUGGGCGUAAAGAGCUCGUAGGCGGUUUGUCGCGUCGGCCGUGAAAACUUGGGGCUUAACCCCAAGCCUGCGGUCGAUACGGGCAGACUUGAGUUCGGCAGGGGAGACUGGAAUUCCUGGUGUAGCGGUGAAAUGCGCAGAUAUCAGGAGGAACACCGGUGGCGAAGGCGGAUCUCUGGGCCUGAUCUGACGCUGAGGCGCGAAAGCUAGGGGAGCGAACAGG